rnacentral:lncRNA from 1 species
AAACAUGUAUUCGAGAAAAUGGACCACUCCUAUUUCCAGAACAGAUCAAAGAUUAGAAUGGCCAAUAAAAGCUAAAAAAGGUAAGCUAUGACAUUGUACCUCAAAUGCAACGCUGCUGCUACAAGGAGUAUUUGAGUGCUUGUCCCCUUGUCUUUUCCUUGUUUGUUACUGCUACAAAGAGCAGUGAGUGCCUGUCUCCUUUUUCCUCUUUGCGCCUACCAGUCUUCUUCUUACGAACUUACUACGUUGAACUAAACCCUAAUUGUUAUGGAAUCCUGAAAUCAGAAUCAAUGAAUGAUGAACCCUAAUUCCGACGAACAAUGGCGUAUCAUAUCUUUUUAUCUGAUG